rnacentral:rRNA from 1 species
AACGCGAAGAACCUUACCUACUCUUGACAUCCACAGAACUUUCCAGAGAUGGAUUGGUGCCUUCGGGAACUGUGAGACAGGUGCUGCAUGGCUGUCGUCAGCUCGUGUUGUGAAAUGUUGGGUUAAGUCCCGCAACGAGCGCAACCCUUAUCCUUUGUUGCCAGCGCGUAAUGGCGGGAACUCAAAGGAGACUGCCGGUGAUAAACCGGAGGAAGGUGGGGAUGACGUCAAGUCAUCAUGGCCCUUACGAGUAGGGCUACACACGUGCUACAAUGGCAUAUACAAAGAGAAGCGAACUCGCGAGAGCAAGCGGACCUCAUAAAGUAUGUCGUAGUCCGGAUCGGAGUCUGCAACUCGACUCCGUGAAGUCGGAAUCGCUAGUAAUCGUAGAUCAGAAUGCUACGGUGAAUACGUUCCCGGGCCUUGUACACACCGCUGUA